AUAUUUUGAUCGUAAUAAUAGAAAAAUUAUUUGUUUGUUUGUGUAUCAAAUAUUUAAACUGGAAAAUUAAGUUCCUAAAUGCCCAAGUCAGCCUCAUUCUGAUUUUUCAGCUGUAUCCAGAAAUACUGGGAAAAGGAUUUGACCAGAAUUUACAGUUCACAGAACUCUUCAUCUCAGCGUAUAAAGGAAGUGUAAUAAAAUGGAUUUGUUCAGUUCCAAGCACAUUGGUCAAAUGCAUGUCGAUGAAGAUUUUGCAUAUUCAAAGAUUCCUUUGAGUUUUCUGGUUCUUGACCCAUCUUCUUAAAUUACUGCAGGUGAAAUUAAUCUAACUGGUGUUCCCUGUUGUGUGGUUUGACAGCUCUUGAUAACCAAAGGUUUUUAUUAGUUCAGAGCCAUAUCCUUGAUGGAGAAUCCCAGGAGACCACCUCAGCAAACUCUGGAAGUUGUAGGAAUGAACCUCCACAUUUUUUGGUGCUGGCAAAUGGAGAGAAGUUUCUAAAGGAAGAAGAGGAAU